CGUAGGGUGCGAGCGUUAAUCGGAAUUACUGGGCGUAAAGCGUGCGCAGGCGGUUUGGUAAGACAGGCGUGAAAUCCCCGGGCUCAACCUGGGAACUGCGCUUGUGACUGCCAAGCUAGAGUAUGGCAGAGGGGGGUGGAAUUCCACGUGUAGCAGUGAAAUGCGUAGAGAUGUGGAGGAACACCGAUGGCGAAGGCAGCCCCCUGGGCCAAUACUGACGCUCAUGCACGAAAGCGUGGGUAGCAAACAGGAUUAGAUACCCUGGUAGUCCACGCCCUAAACGAUGUCAACUAGGUGUUGGGUGGGUAAAACCAUUUAGUACCGGAGCUAACGCGUGAAGUUGACCGCCUGGGGAGUACGGCCGCAAGGUUA
rnacentral:rRNA from 1 species